GUUCUUAUAGCUUAAAUGGUUAGAGCACUAAAUUGAAGAUUUAGGUGUAUAUGUUCAAUUCAUGUUAAGAACA
rnacentral:tRNA from 1 species